AGGGAAUAUUGCGCAAUGGGCGAAAGCCUGACGCAGCGACACCGUGUGAAGGAUGAAGGUCUUCGGAUCGUAAACUUCUGUCAAUUGGGGACGAAGGUAAUAAGGUUAAUAGCCUUUAUUAUUGACGGUACCUAAUAAGGAAGUCUCGGCUAACUCCGUGCCAGCAGCCGCGGUAAGACGGAGGAGGCAAGCGUUGUCCGGAAUCAUUGGGCGUAAAGAGCGCGUAGGCGGUUUUUCAAGUCGUAUGUGAAAACUUCAGGCUUAACCUGAUGAUUGCAUAUGAAACUGGAUAACUUGAGUACAGCAGAGGAAAGUGGAAUUCCUGGUGUAGCGGUGAAAUGUGCAGAUAUCAGGAAGAACACCAGUAGCGAAGGCGGCUUUCUGGGCUGUUACUGACGCUGAGGCGCGAAAGCUAGGGGAGCGAACAG
rnacentral:rRNA from 1 species